GCAAGUUGAAUGGGUUUAGACCCAUGGCAAACGGGAGAGUAACACAUUGGUAAUCUGCCCUGAAGACGAGGAUAAUUAGGAGAAAUCCUGAAUAAUACUCGAUAAUAGUGGGGGGUCGUAAGACAUUCCCACUUAAAGCUUUUGCGCUUCAGGAGGAGCCUAUGGCUUAUCAGCUUGUUGGUGAGGUAAAAGCUCACCAAGGCAAUGACGAGUAUCGGGUGUGAGAGCAUGGCC
rnacentral:rRNA from 1 species